GACAGAGGGGCCGAGCGUUAGGCGGAAUCACUGGGCUUAAAGCGUGUGUAGGCGGGCGGGCAAGUACCUUGUGAAAUCCCACGGCUCAACCGUGGAACGGCUGGGUAUACUGCCUGUCUUGAGCCAACUAGGGGCGAGCGGAACAGACGGUGGAGCGGUGAAAUGCGUAGAUAUCGUCUGGAACGCCGAAGGUGAAAACAGCUCGCUGGGGCUGUGCUGACGCUGAGACACGAAAGCCAGGGGAGCGAACGGG
rnacentral:rRNA from 1 species